UAUGGUUUAGUAUUUAAUGUUUGUGUUUUGGUAUUUUUGGCUUAUGGUUUGGGUUUUAUGGUUUAGGGUUAGGGUUAAGGUUUGGGCUUUUGUUUUAUUUAGGUUUUUAGGUUUUGGGUUUAGGAUAUCAUGUUUAAUAUCAAUGGCUUACUGUUUAAUAUUUUGAUUUUUGUAUUUAGGGCCUGCCACUAAAUUUUCUUUUGCAACUAACAUAUCUAUAAUAACUUAAGUGGGAUAAUUACACAAGUAUAGAGAAGUUAACAUAUGAUGAAGUGGUUCUAUGUACUUUGGAUAGGGGAGGGAUGCAAUUAGCUAUUUGGAGUCAAUACACUGCUAUUGUUUUAUGUUACUAGAAAUAGAACAUAGGAGACUCACUUCAUUGUUAAUAAUUAUUGGUGCCAGAUUUCAUGCAAAGGAAUUUGGAAUCAAAUAGCCUUAGAUACCUUUUUUUUUACCAAUACCAAUAUUACGAUUCAGCCUUCCUUUUUGUGUGCUAAUCUACAACAUAUGUCAUGAUUAAGCUAAGGUCAACAUCUUAUCGAAUAAUGCCCCUCUACAAUAGUAGCUAAAAUCAUUAUCGGAAAGUAGGCCCAUACAAACCUUACACAAAUUGUGAACCAGCACACCCUUCCUCUACACAUUAAUAAAACUUCAUACAUCCACUCCCAAGAUAUCCAAGUUGCCCUUAACAUAAGGCAGCCACUAUCAAUCUCAAAUCUUUAAGCAUAAUAGGAGAAUAUUGACUCAAAGAUUUAUCACAAUCCAUGAAUUCUUGAUAAAUAUAUACAAAAUUCUCCUCUCCAAACAUGUAUUCAAAGAGAUGAAAACAAAUGGGUUGUAGUCUUACUUUAAUUCUGGAAUUUUAUGAUUAAUGUUGGUUUAAUCUAGCUUGGAAGGUGAUGCAAUGUUUUGUACAUUUCAACAUGUGUAUCGCAAGUUAACUUUGAUGAAAAGUAUUUAAAUAAAUAUAUUAAGGUGUUAAUUGAUCUUAAAAUUAAAAGUUAAGUGCUAAGUUUAAGAAAAGUGAAAAACAUUCAAAAAUUGAAAUAAAAUAACUAAGUUGCUUGCUUGGCUUAAUUGAGCUAGCAGCUGUAUCAUUUACUUGAGCUAUAAUACUGUAAGCGGCCCAAAUUUGAUGGGCCAGAUUCAGGCUUAUAUUAAUGGGCACACUUCAAGCCCAAACCUAUUAAAAAAGGAAUGAAAGCCCAGCAACUAAAUCUGCCAGAUUGGCACGUUAUGGAUCAAGCCCAUGUGAAACUAAGUAGGUGCAUCACAUACAAUGACUUUUUUUUAUCAUGUAAUUGGGCCAAGUUUGUAACAGCUACUUGCAUUAAUCUGUCCCAUGUUGAAUAAAAUAACAAAGCAAAAAUGGACAGACAAGGCCCAAUAAUCUUAUGUCCAAAGAAGCCCAAGUUGAAAGGCCAAAUAUGUGGGUCACCUACUUGACAAUAUAUGGCCCUAAAUUGGCAAAGAACGUCCGCCAUCGAGCCUUCCUUUUAAAAAAAUAAAUAUCAAGUCUUUUUCUUCAUUUUAAACUUGCAAAAUUUUCAAACUACUUUAUUUUCUUUGUUAGUGUCUCUAGGCUUCAACAAGAAGCCCUAAAACACAUUAGGGGUCUUGAGUAUUGUAUAACUUUCAAGUAAAAGUUUGAAGGAGUGUUUGAAUUCUUGAAGUACAAGUUCAACGGAUAAAUUAAAAGAAUUAAAGGUACAGGUGGACUCUAGAGCAACAUGAUCGACGAUGUAGACAUCCGGACGUCACUCAUUCAUUUGGAGAUGAUGGAGCUAUUUCCUACAAGUCACGCUUUCCCUUUCCUUUCUCGAGCUGAAGAACUCACAAUUUCUUUUAUCCAAGCUGAAGAUCGAGCUGAAGAUCGAGCUGCAAAACUCAUCGAGUUGACCGAGCUUUCUCUUCUCCGAGCUGAAGAUUUUGUCAAGUUUAUGCUGAAGAACUGGGAUCGAAGAAAUAAAAAUUGAAGAGCUGAAGGACAGAAGCUGAAGAACUGAUUUCAUCAAGUUAGUACAAAUUUAGACUUACUUUCGAAACUGAAAUAGAGGUGUUAGGUAGUAUUGUGAGAAAUGUGUGUUAAGGUGCCCCUGUUUAAUUGCCACUGUCUUCCCUAGUUGUUGACCCUGUUGGUGUUUAGAUUGUUUUUGCUGAAUUUUAUUGUUCGUUGGGCCUCUAUGGUCAGGGUUAAGGUCUGAUUGUACCCCCUCAUGAAAAACAUGAGGCAAAUUCCCUCCUCUUGUAGCCCCUUUCUGCAGAAGUGAGGUUGUAUUAACAACCCCAAUCCAUCCCUCCUUCAACUUCAACAAUCUUAGUAGAAGUUUUAGACAAAUUAUUUGAGUAAUGAUUCAUAGUUAUGAUACCUGAUAUUUUGCUAUUGACAUCCCCUCCUUGUUGCAUUUUUUGUUUUACUUUAUCAGUUUCAUGCUCAUACCUGUUACAUUAAGCAUUUUGGUAACUCAAUUUUAUACUUCACCCUGUUCAAAUUGGUCUCAGUUUUACAUUAAGCUUUCAUUGCCUAGUGCAUUUUCAAGUAUAGAUAGUAACAUUAGCUAAUUUACUCAUUAUGGCCAUAAGUAUAUAAUGUAACUCUAUUUGCUGGAAAUCUUUCAAAACGCGGCUUGGUCAACGGACCUUGCGACGGGAUGUCGUGGUAACGAUGAGCCAUCAUGGACCUCGCGACGGGCCACCGUGGACCUUGCAAUGGGUCGUCGUAGUCAUGAUGGGUCGUCAUCAUGACGGGCCAUCGUUGUCAUGAUGGGCCGUCGUGGUCAUGACGGGCCGUCGUGGUCAUGACAGGCCAUCGUAGUCAUUCGUCGUGGACUCCGUCGUCCUAUACUUGCAAGUUUCUUCUACUACUUCUUUGAUCCUCAUGACGAACAUGCAGGACGGACCGUCAUGGAUAUGAUGGUUCAUUACAGCUAAAAUUUCAAAUUGAUUAAUUGUUAAAUUAAUUAAUUUUGUGUUCUUUGUUGAUGGAACAGAUUUGUUUACUAGAGGAAUUGAUAUUCAAGCAGUUAACAUUGUUAUCAAUUUUAAUUUUCCUAAGAACUUAGAAAUGUAUUUGCACAUGGUAUGUAUAACAGAUCUUUGAUCUUGCGUAUUGACUUAUAUAUUGUUUUUGCUAUUUCAUCAUUGGUAAUCUAUUGUUAGUGGCUUUGGUUUUAACUGAGCUAAGGUUUUGUUUCUCUUGACCACUAUUCAUCUUGCUUGUUUGGUAUGGUUGAAAUGUAGUUUUUCUAUGUAAGAUUUAGUUUCCUUGUUUGAUCGUGUGGAACAUAUUAACUACACAAGGAAAAUAAUCUAAUUUUCUUUAAUUUUUGCUGCUGCUGUAAUCUACAAUCUUGACUUGUCUCUCUUUAGUUGUUGUUAAUGUAUUUGGUUUAAAUUGAGCUAAGGUCUUGCUUCUUUUGUUUCACUGUUUUUUGGCAUUUGUAUAGAACAUUGUCAUGGUAUGGAAUCUGUAAUCUUCAGAUUUGUUAUCAAUGUUUUCUGUAACUGCUGCUUCUAUAUAUAAAUAUUUCUAUCAGUAAUGUCUAUUUUCUUUCUUAUUAUAUAGAAUAUCCAUGUUAUAACCAUAACUUUUGACAUCCUAGUAGAAGACAUGCUUCCAUAACUACAAACAAAUAAACAAAUAAUUAUUAGGAGAAUCUAAUUGCAUGUGUCUCCUCAUUAAUUCCUUUUUUCUUUAGUGUUAGUGUUAGUUUGCGUGCAUCAUGGUUAUUGUAUAACACCAAAUAUUUUAUAUUGUUUCUUAUGAAGUUUGAACCCUAAUGCAAUUAUUCAUUGUUGUUGAACUCAUUUGGAAUUCUAGACACCUAAGGGAAGAUCAUCUACUUUGAACAUCAAAAGACAAGUAGGCAUCUACUUUGAACUUCAAAAGAUGCAGUCUAAUUCUCUGUAACUACUGGGUUUCUUGCCUCUCUAUAUUGUUGCAAUCUGAACUUCUUACCUCUUCUAUAUAACUGACAAU